rnacentral:rRNA from 1 species
GCCGAAGGGGGCUAGCGUUGUUCGGAAUUACUGGGCGUAAAGCGCGUGUAGGCGGUUGUUCAAGUCCGGUGUGAAAGCCUUGAGCUCAACUCAAGAAAUGCACUUGAUACUGGAUGACUAGAGGACCGGAGAGGAUAGUGGAAUUCCCAGUGUAGUGGUGAAAUACGUAGAGAUUGGGAAGAACACCAGUGGCGAAGGCGGCUAUCUGGACGGUUUCUGACGCUAAGACGCGAAAGCGUGGGGAGCAAACAGG